UUGUGUUAGUGACUAAUGAGGUUGGUUUGAAAUUUGAAGUCACUGCAGGGCACCUGGGAAGGGAAAUGUGAGAAGAAUAUAGACAUUUUGAAUCCAAAGUUCAGGAGAAAAGCCUUAACGUGGAACGGGUGACUUAUCUACCUGGGUGUCGGGGAGAUCACAAGUAGGCAGAG